UUGCAGAAUUCAGUGAAUCAUCGAAUCUUUGAACGCACAUUGCGCCCGCCAGUAUUCUGGCGGGCAUGCCUGUCCGAGCGUCAUUU
rnacentral:rRNA from 1 species